AACGCACCUUGCGCUCCUUGGUAUUCCGAGGAGCAUGCCUGUUUGAGUGUCAUGGAAUCAUCAACCCUCAACCUUUGAGGACGAGGGCUUGGACUUGGAGGUUUCAUGCUGGCUUUGCCCUCUGUGAAGGGGUGGUCGGCUCCUCUUGAAUGCAUUAGCUUGAACCUAUGCUGUAUCGGCUUAUCGGUGUGAUAGCUGUCUACGCCGCGGCUGUGAGGCUUUUAAAACUCGGGCUCAGCUUCGAAUCGUCCCUCCGAGGGGGGGACGCCAACUUUAUUGACCUCUGACCUCAAAUCAGGUAGGAUUACCCGCUGAACUUAA
rnacentral:rRNA from 1 species